rnacentral:rRNA from 1 species
GUGGCGAACGGGUGAGUAAUGCGUAAGAACCUGCCCUUGGGAGGGGAACAACAGCUGGAAACGGUUGCUAAUACCCCAUAGAAUUUAGUACCUCUACGAGGUAGGCUGAGGAGCAAAAGGGAGGAAUCCGCCCAAGGAGGGGCUCACGUCCGAUUAGCUAGUUGGUGAGGCAAUGGCUUACCAAGGCUCCGAUCAGUAGUUGGUCUGAGAGGAUGAUCAGCCACACUGGGACUGAGACACGGCCCAGACUCCUACGGGAGGCAGCAGUGAGGAAUUUUCCGCAAUGGGCGAAAGCCUGACGGAGCAAUGCCGCGUGAAGGAAGAAGGCUCACGGGUCGUAAACUUCUUUUCUCGGA